rnacentral:rRNA from 1 species
AUUGAACGCUGGCGGCAUGCUUUACACAUGCAAGUCGAACGGUAACAGGCCGCAAGGUGCUGACGAGUGGCGUACGGGUGAGUAAUGCAUCGGAACGUGCCCAGUCGUGGGGGAUAACUACUCGAAAGAGUAGCUAAUACCGCAUACGAUCUAUGGAUGAAAGCGGGGGACCGUAAGGCCUCGCGCGAUUGGAGCGGCCGAUGUCAGAUUAGGUAGUUGGUGGGGUAAAGGCUCACCAAGCCAACGAUCUGUAGCUGGUCUGAGAGGACGACCAGCCACACUGGGACUGAGACACGGCCCAGACUCCCACGGGAGGCAGCAGUGGGGAAUUUUGGACAAUGGGCGCAAGCCUGAUCCAGCAAUGCCGCGUGCAGGAAGAAGGCCUUCGGGUUGUAAACUGCUUUUGUACGGAACGAAACGGCUCUGGUUAAUACCCGGGGCUAAUGACGGUACCGUAAGAAUAAGCACCGGCUAACUACGUG